UACAGAGGUCUCAAGCGUUGUUCGGAUUCAUUGGGCGUAAAGGGUGCGUAGGCGGCGCGGUAAGUCGGGUGUGAAAUCUUGGAGCUUAACUCCGAAACUGCAUUCGAUACUGCCGUGCUUGAGGACUGGAGAGGAGACUGGAAUUUACGGUGUAGCGGUGAGAUGCGUAGAUAUCGUAAGGAAGACCAGUGGCGAAGGCGGGUCUCUGGACAGUUCCUGACGCUGAGGCACGAAGGCCAGGGGAGCAAACGGG
rnacentral:rRNA from 1 species